CCGGCGAUGUCCGAAUGGGGAAACCCAGUGUGACUCGUCACACUAUCAUUAACUGAAUCCAUAGGUUAAUGAGGCGAACCGGGGGAACUGAAACAUCUAAGUACCCCGAGGAAAAGAAAUCAACCGAGAUUCCCCCAGUAGCGGCGAGCGAACGGGGAGGAGCCCAGAGCCUGAAUCAGCUUGUGUGUUAGUGGAAGCGUCUGGAAAGUCGCGCGAUACAGGGUGACAGCCCCGUACACAAAAGCACACAGGCUGUGAGCUCGAUGAGUAGGGCGGGACACGUGGUAUCCUGUCUGAAUAUGGGGGGACCAUCCUCCAAGGCUAAAUACUCCUGACUGACCGAUAGUGAACCAGUACCGUGAGGGAAAGGCGAAAAGAACCCCGGCGAGGGGAGUGAAAAAGAACCUGAAACCGUGUACGUACAAGCAGUGGGAGCCUCUUGAUGGGGUGACUGCGUACCUUUUGUAUAAUGGGUCAGCGACUUAUAUUCUGUAGCAAGGUUAACCGAAUAGGGGAGCCGAAGGGAAACCGAGUCUUAACUGGGCGUUAAGUUGCAGGGUAUAGACCCGAAACCCGGUGAUCUAGCCAUGGGCAGGUUGAAGGUUGGGUAACACUAACUGGAGGACCGAACCGACUAAUGUUGAAAAAUUAGCGGAUGACCUGUGGCUGGGGGUGAAAGGCCAAUCAAACCGGGAGAUAGCUGGUUCUCCCCGAAAGCUAUUUAGGUAGCGCCUCGUGAAUUCAUCUCCGGGGGUAGAGCACUGUUUCGGCUAGGGGGCCAUCCCGGCUUACCAACCCGAUGCAAACUACGAAUACCGGAGAAUGUUAUCACGGGAGACACACGGCGGGUGCUAACGUCCGUCGUGAAGAGGGAAACAACCCAGACCGCCAGCUAAGGUCCCAAAGUCAUGGUUAAGUGGGAAACGAUGUGGGAAGGCCCAGACAGCCAGGAUGUUGGCUUAGAAGCAGCCAUCAUUUAAAGAAAGCGUAAUAGCUCACUGGUCGAGUCGGCCUGCGCGGAAGAUGUAACGGGGCUAAACCAUGCACCGAAGCUGCGGCAGCGACACUAUGUGUUGUUGGGUAGGGGAGCGUUCUGUAAGCCUGCGAAGGUGGCCUGUGAGGGUUGCUGGAGGUAUCAGAAGUGCGAAUGCUGACAUAAGUAACGAUAAAGCGGGUGAAAAGCCCGCUCGCCGGAAGACCAAGGGUUCCUGUCCAACGUUAAUCGGGGCAGGGUGAGUCGACCCCUAAGGCGAGGCCGAAAGGCGUAGUCGAUGGGAAACAGGUUAAUAUUCCUGUACUUGGUGUUACUGCGAAGGGGGGACGGAGAAGGCUAUGUUAGCCGGGCGACGGUUGUCCCGGUUUAAGCGUGAAGGUGUGUGCUCCAGGCAAAUCCGGAGUGCUUUAACACUGAGGCGUGAUGACGAGGCACUACGGUGCUGAAGUAACAAAUGCCCUGCUUCCAGGAAAAGCCUCUAAGCAUCAGGUAACACGAAAUCGUACCCCAAACCGACACAGGUGGUCAGGUAGAGAAUACCAAGGCGCUUGAGAGAACUCGGGUGAAGGAACUAGGCAAAAUGGUGCCGUAACUUCGGGAGAAGGCACGCUGAUAUGUAGGUGAAGCGACUUGCUCGUGGAGCUGAAAUCAGUCGAAGAUACCAGCUGGCUGCAACUGUUUAUUAAAAACACAGCACUGUGCAAACACGAAAGUGGACGUAUACGGUGUGACGCCUGCCCGGUGCCGGAAGGUUAAUUGAUGGGGUCAUCCGUAAGGAGAAGCUCUUGAUCGAAGCCCCGGUAAACGGCGGCCGUAACUAUAACGGUCCUAAGGUAGCGAAAUUCCUUGUCGGGUAAGUUCCGACCUGCACGAAUGGCGUAAUGAUGGCCAGGCUGUCUCCACCCGAGACUCAGUGAAAUUGAACUCGCUGUGAAGAUGCAGUGUACCCGCGGCAAGACGGAAAGACCCCGUGAACCUUUACUAUAGCUUGACACUGAACACUGGUCCUUGAUGUGUAGGAUAGGUGGGAGGCUUUGAAGCGUGGACGCCAGUCUGCGUGGAGCCAUCCUUGAAAUACCACCCUUUAAUGGCUGGUGUUCUAACGUGGACCCGUAAUCCGGGUUGCGGACAGUGUCUGGUGGGUAGUUUGACUGGGGCGGUCUCCUCCUAAAGCGUAACGGAGGAGCACGAAGGUCAGCUAAUCCUGGUCGGACAUCAGGAGGUUAGUGCAAUGGCAUAAGCUGGCUUGACUGCGAGCGUGACGGCGCGAGCAGGUGCGAAAGCAGGUCAUAGUGAUCCGGUGGUUCUGAAUGGAAGGGCCAUCGCUCAACGGAUAAAAGGUACUCCGGGGAUAACAGGCUGAUACCGCCCAAGAGUUCAUAUCGACGGCGGUGUUUGGCACCUCGAUGUCGGCUCAUCACAUCCUGGGGCUGAAGUAGGUCCCAAGGGUAUGGCUGUUCGCCAUUUAAAGUGGUACGCGAGCUGGGUUUAGAACGUCGUGAGACAGUUCGGUCCCUAUCUGCCGUGGGCGCUGGAGAAUUGAGGGGGGCUGCUCCUAGUACGAGAGGACCGGAGUGGACGCAUCACUGGUGUUCGGGUUGUCAUGCCAAUGGCACUGCCCGGUAGCUAAAUGCGGAAGAGAUAAGUGCUGAAAGCAUCUAAGCACGAAACUUGCCCCGAGAUGAGUUCUCCCUGAGACUUUAAGUCUCCUGAAGGAACGUUGAAGACGACGACGUUGAUAGGCCGGGUGUGUAAGCGCAGCGAUGCGUUGAGCUAACCGGUACUAAUGAACCGUGAGGCUUAACCUUACAACGCCGAAG
rnacentral:rRNA from 1 species